UACCCUGGUAGUCCACGCUGUAAACGAUGAGUACUAGGUGUCGGGGGUUACCCCCUUCGGUGCCGCAGCUAACGCAUUAAGUACUCCGCCUGGGAAGUACGCUCGCAAGAGGGAAACUCAAAGGAAUUGACGGGGACCCGCACAAGUAGCGGAGCAUGUGGUUUAAUUCGAAGCAACGCGAAGAACCUUACCUAAGCUGGACAUCCCAAUGACAUCUCCUUAAUCGGAGAGUUCCCUUCGGGGAAAUUGGUGACAGGUGGUGCAUGGUUGUCGUCAGCUCGUGUCGUGAGAUGUUGGGUUAAGUCCCGCAACGAGCGCAACCCUUGUCUUUAGUUGCCAUCAUUAAGUUGGGCACUCUAGAGA
rnacentral:rRNA from 1 species